rnacentral:rRNA from 1 species
GACGAACGCUGGCGGCGUGCUUAACACAUGCAAGUCGAACGGUAAGGCCCCUUCGGGGGUCCACGAGUGGCGAACGGGUGAGUAACACGUGAGCAACCUGCCCUUGACUCUGGAAUAACAGUUGGAAACAGCUGCUAAUACUGGAUAUUCAUCGUCUCCUUCCUGGGGGGUGGUGGAAAGCUCCGGCGGUCAGGGAUGGGCUCGCGACCUAUCAGCUUGUUGGUGAGGUAAUGGCUCACCAAGGCUUCGACGGGUAGCCGGCCUGAGAGGGCGACCGGCCACACUGGGACUGAGAUACGGCCCAGACUCCUACGGGAGGCAGCAGUGGGGAAUAUUGCACAAUGGGCGCAAGCCUGAUGCAGCAACGCCGCGUGCGGGAUGACGGCCUUCGGGUUGUAAACCGCUUUCAGUAGGGACGAAGGGUGACUGACGGUACCUACAGAAGAAGGACCGGCUAACUACGUG